GCUUUUCAGAUUUCGAAGCGACAGUUUGUAAAUUUCCCUGUUGCUGUAUAGUUGUUAGUGGCUGUAUUGGUGAUUAUUAUUUCAAUGACGAUUCGGCAAGAUACGUACUGAGGUUUUUGAUGUAAUACGAAAACUAAUAUUUCAAUUACGUACAUUAUUUUUGUAUUGUGUAAAAAUGAGUAAAAAGUGUGCGAGGUGUGAAAAAACAGUUUAUCCUAUUGAGGAAUUAAAAUGCCUAGACAAGAUCUGGCACAAACAGUGUUUCAAAUGUCAGGUGUGUAACAUGACCCUGAAUAUGCGGAAUUACAAAGGAUUCAACAAGCAGCCAUACUGUGAGGCGCACAUCCCAAAAGCAAAGGCAACUACCAUGGCAGAAACACCAGAAUUGAAGCGAAUUGCAGAAAACACAAAAAUUCAGUCAAAUGUUCUGUAUCACGCUGAGUUUGAAAGAGCAAAAGGAAAAUUCACACAAGUCGCCGAUGAUCCUGAAACAUUACGAAUCAAGCAGAACUCAAAGAUUAUCAGUAACGUAGCAUAUCAUGGAGAAUUGGAGAAGAAGGCAGCGAUGGAGCAGAAGCGAGUCAUGUCUGGGGAAAAUGGAGAACCUGUUGGUGAUGCAGAUGACAUAAACAUGCCCCCACCCCUGCAAGUGCCUCCCCCUGCUCAGCCCAUCAAUCACCAUCACUCAGUGGGGGUGCAGCCCCAUCACCACCAUCAUCAUAUGCCCGGAAAGAUAGCAGACUACGACCCUCUGGUGGAGGCUCCCCAUAACUCCCCGUACUCGGCAAGACAGAGCGCUACUGUAAUCUACACUUCUGACCGAGGCCCAGUGACUAGUCCACCCACGCGACGAGUUGGCUCCAUUGCAGACCUCGAUCCUGUCAACAAUUUUUAUGGGUCAUUGACAACGGACUACAGACCACCUAGUAGCGGUGGUGGCAGCAGUGCCAACAAUUACAAUAAUCAUCAUGCUGUGAGCACACCCAUCAGCAAUCAGCAUCAGCAAACCAAACUGCCAUCUUCAGGGAGAGUUUAUAAAGCAAUGUACGACUAUGACGCUCAGGAUUCUGAUGAAGUUUCAUUCAUGGAUGGAGACCUCAUUAUUAACUGCACACCAAUUGAUGAAGGAUGGAUGACUGGGCUUGUCCAGCGAACGGGACAGACGGGCAUGUUACCCGCCAAUUAUGUGGAGCCUGUAAAUUGAUGGGUUGACAUGUGCUUUAUGCUGUACCAUCAUUAGCUUUUGGAGACGGUGGAUGUCAGGAUGGAUUUCGAUUAGUUUCUUUUGUACGUCAGCACUUACAAAAAUGUUGGACUUCAGGGAAAAUGGAGUUCUUCAUCCAGUAAUUUUGACAUUGUCGUCAUAUUUUGAGAAUGUACUGUGCAAAAAUUAGCCAUAAUCACGGUUAUAUUUGCUAUUUGAAACUUAUUUCAUUAUUUUGCAUGACUCGAGGGCCCCCUCUCAUAUUUAAUGGUUCUGAUGAAUUUGUUGACAGUAUUUCAUAUGGAUAGUAUCCAAGAACUUGUUUGAAUGUGGAUUUUACUUUCCAUAUUUCUGAUUGGUGCCGUUGUCCAUCAAAAUGCAUAAUUUUAAUUACUGUUUGAAACCUUUCUACACUGAAGACUUGGGUCCCGUAAACAUAUUAUAGUUAUGUACAUAUAAAUGGUCUCUUCAAGAUAAUUGAAUUAUAGGAAGUUUAGCACAGGGAGCAGUUCGAAAUGAGUAAAACAAGUUUAAAGUUUCUUUAACCCUUUAACAAAUUGGGAUAUGCUGAACAGUCAGUAUUUAACUGUAUACCGCAAGUGAAAUUAAUAAGCGUGGGGAGAUGCCGCAAACAGUCGAGAGCAUGGGGACAUGGAUCGCUGUUCACACAGUAAAAACUUGCUUACAGCAGAAUCCCAAAGGACCUGAAUAAUUGCACAGUAUAUGUCCCAAAUGAUGAUCCAAUCGUAUGUAAAAAAAUUAUGCUUCAAAUGUGCAUUGAAUUAUUGAGUAUUAUAUAUUUUCAGUUUUCCUCCUUUAUGCUACAUUAUUUUUUUUUCACUCAGUAUUCCUAAGAACGGAGGGAUUUUCAAUAUCAUUCCGUGUCCAGGUUCAUUUUCAAAUGACUUGUAUGAUAUUCGGGUAAAAUCGUAGUUACGUGCAUUUCACGUGGUCAGAAUUGCUGUACUCCAGUCUUCAAAUGCUAAUGGAGGUUGAAGUGCCUAAUUCAAUUUCUUUCCUGUUUGAUCAUCCUGAUGCCUUAACCAUAUACUUAUAUCCACGGAAAAAAAUUCAGAGGUUAUGUGAAAUAUUGUUUUUGUUGCCAUGUUUUUGCUGUCGGUUUACUUAUUGACAUCGUUAAUAUUUCUUAUACUUGCCUUUGCUAAGCUUGUCGGUAGCAAUUAUACAGAAAAGCAGAAUUUAUAAUGCUUAAUGUUUUCUGUUGGUAAUACUGAACCAUUGACUUAACUGACUUGAAUUCAGGGAAAUUUUGAAUGUUUUGUGAUGCAUGGAACACUUAUCUGUAGAUUGACAUGUGUUAAAUGUAAUCUGAAUCUAAGAUUUUGUCGGUGGUUGAUUGACUAAGGAUGUGAGUAAUUGAUAGCCCUAACUGAACUGUCUUCCUUUACUGUCACAGGCACGGUGACGUCUCAGCGUCUAGUUUUCUAUAAUAUAAGAAGCAUUUAAAUGUAUAGACACAUCUGCUGUGUGCCAGAGUUGUCAUGUCAAGACGGCUAGUUAAAUUGAUAGCACAGACUUGUUUCUGAUACAAGGUUUGUUCAUACAGUGGAAAGAUUAGACGAUGCGGAGAGCCGUAAAAUGCACCGAAGGGUUGAAACUACUUGUGUCAUAGAAUGUUCAGGUUGUAUAGAUAUAUAAUUAUGUAACUUUGCUGUUUUAUGAGACACAUCUGAGUGAUCAAUAAUUAAUUUUUUAUCCAAUUAACCCUGCAACUAAAACACCAAUUAAGCAAUUGUUCUCAACGGUUGUAAGUUCUUUGGACACAAAUCAUGAUUCAACCACAACUGGUUCCUACUUUACACUGUGUUGCCUUACAAAUGCUUUAAACUUGUGAUUUACAUAAUAAUUGUUAAUCAUACAUUUGUAAUUUUAUUAAGAGUGAAGUUUCCAUAGCUAUUUGCUAUUUUUAUAACAGUUUAUAUUGAUAACGAGAUUUGAAGCUUUUGUGGCAACUGAUUGCAUUGAAGUCUGUGCAGGUGAUCAGCUGUGUCAGAAUGGAAUGAAUUUCUGUCCGUCCCUGAUAGAGGCAGAGGUAAUCUCCAAAACAUUAGAAUCUCAUCCCGUAUUGACACAGCUGAUCUCCCAGGAAUACUUUGUUACAUUUAAAAUAAAUUUUUUAGAUAGUGUGUGGAAAUGUUACUGUAAAAUUGUUAACAGAAAUGCCGCUGUAUUUCUGUUGCGGAUAUGUACGUGUCAUUUGUCGUAGAAUCGCCUCACAGCAUUCCAUUGAAAUGUGUGCACUUGAAGAUGCGUGAGAUAAGUGUGUAUGUGCAUGCGUGCCUUUGUCUCUCUGAUCUCUGGACUAAUUCAUCGUAGCUCAAUUUAAGUUACAGAUAAUUUGGUUUUCUAAACAUGCUGUUUAGAAGCUCACUGAGGAACUUUCACAGUGUUAUUAAACAUCAAAACCAGUCAAAUUGAGCAUGUUGGCAGAAUACAAGGAGACUGGCUUCCAAAACUAGUAUAAAAUUACAAACCGUAUGGAUUAGGAAACCGAGUGUGACCUUUAACGAGAGGCUGGAACAGAUCAGCAGGUGUCGGAACUCCUUGACUGCCAAUGAAUAUGAAGGUGACGAAUAAACAAUACCAAACGACAAGAUACAGUGACAAGGCAGGAUUGUUUAAAAUGUAAUUAUUUUGUUGUUUAAGCUUUCCACACAGGAAGUGUUCACAGGCAGAUUUCUAACCUGGCUGCUGCUAUUAGUUUGGACAGAAGAAAUAAAUGAGUACAUUAACUGCAAAUGGGAACGCUCAUGGGUGUCAUAUUCCUCUUUUGCAUUUGUAAUGUUUUUCUUGAAAUGGAAAUCAUGACACAGAGUUUCUUCACGUUAUUCUGUCCUGUUAGCCCAAGAAAUCUGAUAUCCGUACACAUAAAAAACACGCACAGUGUAUAUGAUGGUAUGGACUUUUCUAUAUGUGCGCUAUCAGUCUGUCCUAUCCCGAGUUUAAUUUAAUAAUUUCUUAAAAUGAAUAUAAAUUAUGAAGUUUGGUGCUAUUUAGUUUUUCAAACUUCCUUAUCAUUAUCCUGUUUUGAAUUAUCAGUUUCUGAAAUCAGCUAUGUAUACAACAGGUAAAAUGUUGCUUCUUGACGUUUUGAGAGGUUAUAAUUUGCAAACUGAUUUUACAAAGCACCACAAUAUGCCAGUAUGGCGCCUCAGGAUUCGCCGUUCAUUCUGUUGGUUCACUUUUCCUCUGGGUCAGAAUAAUGGCUCCAAAAUUUCUGCAUAAAUAGAGAGCAUCAUAAUUCCACAAAUCAUUUGUGUGAAUCCACAUUAUUUUCCUUAUUUGCCCAUUCUUGUAUUUUGGUAUGGGCUGCAGAGGGACCCAGUAUGUUAGUUUAUUUUAAUUUUUAUUCUCUCAAUGCAUGGCAGCAAAAUUAAAAUUUUAAGUCAGAGUAACAUUAAUUAAAUUAAUGUGUUUGCCCUUACGUGUCAAGGUAAAUAUGAAUUUUGUUUGUCUUUUAUUUUUGUAAUAUAAGCUGUAGUUGAAUAUUUUAUAUUGUAAAUCUGAAGUUCAAUCACUUCUGUAUUUCUUUGAAUAUACUUUCAUAGGAACUUGCGAGGUCUUGUGAGUAGGUUUAACCCCCUGGUUUGUAAAAUCUCGGAAGUUCAAAAAUUCCUUAGUUUCAUUCCAUUUAUUUAUCUUCACUUGCACUGAAAUAUUUUAGAUUUUCAGCUUUGUCUGUUUCGUCCGCACUUCCUUUGUGCUUAGAACUGUAUUAAUUAAUUUCAAAUCAUAUUCUGAUACAGUUAACCCCUUAAAAAAUGUUACACGUUCCAUAUGUAAGCUUUUAAGCCAAUCGAUUGAGAGCCCAGUAAUGAUUUCCUCAGUGAGGGGUGGAAAAUACAUUUUUGGAUUUUAAUGCUGGCAUGCACCUUGGCAAAAGUUGGCCAAAGUAAAGAUAUUUAUUGUUCCAGGCUUCUUGGGAGGCAGACAUUUGAAUCCAUUUCAUUCCUUUCCUCUGUCAUCUGGAUUUGAUGCUUCUAAUCGCAAGAAAUAUUGGAACGUACACAUCUUCAUGAUGGUUUAUACUUCACAAGGUUUAAUAUAUUCUGGUUUGUACGCCAUUCCACUAUUUGCAUUUACUGUGACACAGCAACCAUUAUUCCAAUACUAAGUACUCUAGUUAUUUUGUCUAGAUAUAUAAGUAUGGGAUUUACAUAUACUAUAUAAAAAAAACAAUGGUACUGACUUCAAUUUAUAUUGUACAUAUAUACAUUAGUGUGUUUACCAGAUGAAUAAUUCAAUAUUACUUUUUCCUGUUACGAGUUUUGACAAUAAGAUCUUCAGUUUGUAAUUUUAAGUACUGUAUUACAUUUUUCAGCAUUAUUUUAUUUGAUACAGAUGUACGCUAAAUUCAGUGAAACAUUUUAUAUUAAGUUUUGUUGAAUUUUGUAGAUGUAGUUUCUGCUUUCUUAUUGCAAUAUUAGUCAUAUGUUCUAUUUACAUAGUAAUUAUUAUGCCAAUAUGCAGCUAAAAGCAUUUGGCACUAAAAAUGUUUACUUAAAUUUCAUAUUCUUUACAAGAUGAAUGUUGAACACAUUUAAUUACAAUUCCCCCAGUUUCUUUUGUUGCAUUGAGAAAUUUUUAUAGGAUAGUUUUCGUGAUUCAUGCUUUUUGAUUUCCACUGUUUGUUGCUUUGCAGGAUACUGUAAUAAUUUGAUGACCGAGCUUUCGUAUCUAGAAAUGUUUUUUACUGUAUGUUGCAGUGACACAUAGGAAAAGAUAAACUUAAGAAAUUAAUAAAGAAAGUCUGUUUCAUAAUACUGUGCACAUUGUUUUAAAGUAUUUAAAAUCUACAUUGUGUAUGAUAUGAUGGUGGAACAAUACAUUUUAAGGUAUCAUGAUAUAUUUCGUUGUAAAAGACUAGUGAAUUUCGUGUUUUAAAAGAUUAUUGAUACUUAAAGAUAUAUUGGUGAGGAGAUUCAUAAUUUGUGGAUGUUGAAUGUUGGACAAGUCUUCAAAAUUGUAACUUAUGCUUGUUCUUAUCACCAGGGGAAUAAACUAUAGCAAAUUUGGCAUAGUUUAAGUCUGUAUUGUUUUCAACAUGGGAGGUACAGAGUAUGGAUUUUGUUUAUUGUAUUGUACAUAACUUUAACAAAUCUUCAGAAAUUUAGAGAUCCUGUUUACUGUUCAGUUUAUUUAUUGUAAACCUGUUGGUGAAACAGGUGUACUAACUGUUGUGUGGUUUAUCAUUUUAAGUAAAUUUCUCAGUCUUGGUUCUUUCUAAGUUGGCUACAAUAAAUUAAAAGUUAUAGCUCUA